UACGUAGGUGGCAAGCGUUGUCCGGAUUUACUGGGCGUAAAGAGCGCGCAGGCGGUCGUACAAGUCGCGUGUGAAAGCCCCCGGCUCAACUGGGGAGGGUCACGCGAUACUGUUCGACUCGAAGGCAGGAGAGGGAAGCAGAAUUCCCGGUGUAGUGGUGAAAUGCGUAGAUAUCCUGAGGAACACCGGUGGCGAAAGCGGCGCGCUGGAUCCCUUCUGACGCUGAGGCGCGAAAGCCAGGGGAGCAAACAGG
rnacentral:rRNA from 1 species